rnacentral:lncRNA from 1 species
GCACCGGACUCUUGAACCAGCAACCAGCAGCCCCGGCACUGCAGUUUGUGUGUGAGAGUGUACUACAGGGCUGGUGUAGACAGGCUCAGUGGAUGGACGAGGCUCUGGAGGAGCUGAGGGGCUGCCUGGGGACACAGCUACAGCGACUCAGCCUCCAGGCCAGGGGCCGAGCUUUGGGUCACUUUCUGUGCGAGAAAAUCUGCCUUGAGGAGCUUUGUGUGUCCGAAGAUCUGAAUGCGGCUCUGACUGAGGGACUUACUGCUCUCACAAGACAGGGAGAGGUGGAGAGAACUGUAAAGACCAGACCUCUGGAGUUUCUUGCCAUUUUCCUGACAAAAUGGACGAAGGAGGGAGAAGAGUGUAGUGGAGGGGAAAAGUGGAUAAACGAAGGAGCAGAUGAUUUCUCCUCA